rnacentral:rRNA from 2 species
ACAAGUACCGUGAGGGAAAGUUGCAAAGAACUUUGAAGAGAGAGUUCAAGAGGGCGUGAAACCGCUUGGAAGGAAGCGGACAGAGCUGACGAAACUCGGCGGCAUUCAACCUUCAAACAGUUGUGGAGUUUGUCUGGAUGAUCCUCGGACGUCUGGCAGAUCCCAUCUCUGGAUGAUGGGUGCAUUUGCCGUCGGUAUGCGCCGAGAGCAUUGCCGUCGUCUUCCCGGUCGGUUCGGGUCGUGGCCCUGCCACUUGUGGAGAGGUGUCCUGCCCGGCUGAUUGGGCUGAUCGGUGGUAGUGUCUAAUUUGGCAAUGAUUGGGAUUUGGUCAGUGUUGGGUCGGUUCGUUCGUGGAACUGUCGCUUGCGAUUCGUUCUCGAUCGAGCAAAUCCACUCUGAUCAUCAUACUCUGAUCGUAAUAUUGUCAUCUCGGUGUCAAAGUCGGUCACCUGUCCGACCCGUCUUGAAACACGGACCAAGGAGUCUAACAUGUGCGCGAGUCAUUGGGUGGCAAACUCAUUGGCGCAAUGAAAGUGACAUUUAAACAUGGGAUUCCUCCUCUUUUUUGAGAUGGAAGCACCAUGACCCCGUCCCAACUGCUUGCAGUGGGGCGGAGGAAGGGCGUACACGUUGGUACCCGAAAGAUGGUGAACUAUGCCUGAGCAGGAUGAAGCCAGAGGAAACUCUGGUGGAAGUCCGCAGCGGUUCUGACGUGCUAAUCGAUCGUC